UCCGGUUUGUCACCGGCGGUCUCCUUAGAGUUCCCAACUUAAUGAUGGCAACUAAGGACAAGGGUUGCGCUCGUUUACGGACUUAACCGCACACCUCACGGCACGAGCUGACGACAGCCAUGCAACAAGUGUCUUCAUGUCCCCUUGUGAGGGAGGGCCCGAUCUCUCGGGCUUACAAUCGAUGUCAAACCUGGGUAAGGUUCUUCGGUUAGUAUCGAAUUAAUCCACAUAAUCCACCGCUUGUGCGGGUCCCCGUCAAUUCCUUUGAGUUUUAGCCUUGCGGCCGUACUCCCCAGGCGGAAUGCUUAAUGUGUUAACUUCGGCACCAAGGGCAUAGAAACCCCUAACACCUAGCAUUCAUCGUUUACGGCGUGGACUAC
rnacentral:misc_RNA from 1 species